AGGAGGCAUCUGGGCCGGCGACAGGGCCGUGAGACCGUGGCUCUGGGCACUCCCUGCCCCCCUGCCCUCUGACCCGCUGGCAGCAGUGCCACAAGCCGCUGCCCUCCCUGGGGCCAGCGUCCUCCGGGGCCAGGUGGACUGCUGAAGGAGGCAGAGCUCUGACGCAGAGCCAGGAACUGGACGUCAGGUGUGAUUGUCGUGGUCACUGUUGUGCUGUUACAAUGGGCACAGUCUCCGGGCUUCCCCAGGCCAUCCCAGCCCCCUCUCGGGACUGUCUGCAGCCCCGCCCAGGCCACCUCAGCGGGCAGUGCCAGGUGCCUCCAGGCGGCUGCAGCUCCCCCCCCAGCACCAUGAGCACCACCCCUGGCCCAGAAGCUGCCCCCAAGCCGAGUGCCAAGUCUAUCUACGAGCAGAGAAAGCACUACUCCACCGUGGUGAUGGCUGAUGUUUCCCAGUACCCUGUCAAUCACCUGGUGACGUUCUGCCUGGGCGAGGAGGAUGGCGUGCACACCGUGGAGGAUGCCUCCAGGAAGCUGGCCGUCAUGGACAGCCAGGGCCGUGUCUGGGCACAGGACAUGCUACUUCGAGUGUCCCCUGACCGCGUCACCCUGCUGGACCCAGUCUCCAAGGAAGAGCUCGAGUCUUACCCACUGGGCGCCAUCGUGCGCUGCGACGCGGUGGUGCCACCGGGCCGGAGCCGCUCGCUGCUGCUCCUGGUGUGUCAGGAGCCAGAGCGUGCGCAGCCAGACGUGCACUUCUUCCAGGGCCUGCGCCUGGGGGCCGAGCUGAUACGAGAGGACAUCCAAGGGGCUCUGCACAAUUACCGCUCAGGCCGCGGGGAGCGCCGGGCAGCAGCGCUCAGGGCCACGCAAGAGGAGCUGCAGCGCGGCCCCUCCACCGCCGCCGAGACCCCGCCCCUGCAGCGCCGCCCGUCGGUCCGCGCGGUGAUCGGCACUGCGGAGCCAGCCGCCGGCCGAGGGCGACCCCGGGUGGAGCCUAUUCCGGAGGUGGAGGCCACCAGGCCGGCCCCGGAGCGCACCGCCUGCGUCGCUGACCCGACCUCGCCAGACCUGGGCCCCCGCGGUCCUGAGCUGGCAGGUCUGCAGGCGGAGAGAGAAGUGGACAUCCUGAACCACAUUUUCGACGACGUGGAGACCUUUGUAUCGAGGCUUCAGAAGUCGGCAGAGGCCGCCCGUGUGCUGCAGCACCGCGAACGCGGCCGCAGGACGCGGCGCCGGGAGGCCGGGGAGGGCCUGCUGACGCUGAGGGCCAAGCCGCCCUCGGAGGCCGAGUACACGGACGUGCUUCAGAAAAUCAAGUACGCCUUCAGCCUGCUGGCGCGGCUGCGCGGGAACAUCGCCAACCCCUCCUCCCCAGAGCUGCUGCACUUUCUGUUCGGACCUCUGCAGAUGAUUGUGAACACGUCUGGGGGCCCUGAGUUCGCCAGCAGUGUCAGGCGGCCGCAUCUGACAUCCGAGGCGGUGGCGCUGCUUCGGGACAGUGUGACUCCCGGUGAAAACGCUCUCUGGACCUCGCUGGGGGACUCGUGGACCUGCCCGGGGCUGGAGCUGCCCCCGGAGGAGGGACCCCCAUACAGCCCCGAGUUCUACAAUGGCUGGGAGCCCCCAGCCACUGACCCUCAGGGCCGCGCUUGGGAGGACCCAGUGGAGAAGCAGCUGCAGCACGAGAGGCGGCGCCGGCAGCAAAGCGCUCCCCAGGUUGCUGUCAAUGGUCACCAAGAACCAGAGCUGCAAGCUGAGCCCCAGCAGGAGCCGGAGCCAGCAGGAAAGUGGGUCCUGUGUAAUUAUGACUUCCAGGCCCGCAACAGCAGUGAGCUGUCCGUCAAGCAGCAGGAUGUGCUGGAGGUCCUGGAUGACAGGCGCAAGUGGUGGAAGGUGAGGGACCAACAGGGCCAAGAGGGAUAUGUGCCCUAUAAUAUCCUGACACCCCACCGAGGACCCCGGAGGGACCACAGCCAAAGCCCUGCCCGAAGCCUGGAGCACAGCACUCCCCCUCCCCCUCCAGGCCCGGCUCCUGCUCCGGGUAGGCCCCACUGGGACAGCUGCGACAGCCUCAACAACUUGGACCCCAGUGAGAAGGGUGAGUGGUGGGGCAUCCCCUCCUGGGAGCGCCCCUCCUGGGAGCAGAUCUCAUCGUGGCUUUCCAGAGAAAUUCUCCCAGAUGCUGAGUGUCAACGAGGAGCUGCAAGCGCGCCUAGCCCAGGGCCGCGCGAGCCCCGGCCGAGCAGCCCCGGGUCCCCGCGCGCAGGAGCCUCAGCUCAGCCGGGACUCAGACGCCGGCAAAGUCCGCGCCUGGCUGCAAGCCAAGGGCUUCAGUCCGGGGACGGUGACCGCGCUGGGCUUACUGUCCGGCGCGCAGCUUUUCUCGUUGGAAAAAGAAGAGUUGCGGGCGGUGAGCCCUGAGGAGGGGGCGCGCGUGUACAGCCUGCUAACGGUGCAGCGUGCCCUGCUGGAGGACAAAGAGAAGGUGUCAGAGCUGGAGGCAGUGAUGGAGAAGCAGAAGAAGAAGGUGGAAGGCGAGAUGAAAACGGAGAUCAUCUGACCCUUCGGGGGCCCCUUAGCAAAAAAUGAGACAGCGUUUUCCCAGGCCCUGCGGGAAGGCGCUGGACUUCCCCAUCGGUGGAAGAGAUUCCCUGAAGCACGCGGACCCAGUCCGGCCCUGGUCUCUCCUGCCCGGGUGGACAGACUGGACAGUCCUUGCUGAAGUUCCUCCUGAGCCCCCAGGAGUCGGGAGGGAGUCGAUGGACAGCAGCAGGGAAAGCUCUUGGGCCACUGGAGAGGGAACACCCUGGAGAGGGCGCCCCUGAGCACGGCAUUGUCACAUGCAGCCCGGUCUAUAAACAGCCUCUUCUAAGCA